rnacentral:rRNA from 1 species
UACGUAGGGUGCAAGCGUUGUCCGGAUUUAUUGGGCGUAAAGAGCUCGUAGGCGGUCUGUCGCGUCGGAUGUGAAAACCCAGGGCUCAACCCUGGGCCUGCAUUCGAUACGGGCAGACUAGAGUAUGGCAGGGGAGACUGGAAUUCCUGGUGUAGCGGUGAAAUGCGCAGAUAUCAGGAGGAACACCGGUGGCGAAGGCGGGUCUCUGGGCCGUAACUGACGCUGAGGAGCGAAAGCGUGGGGAGCGAACAGG